rnacentral:rRNA from 1 species
CCUACGGGAGGCAGCAGUGGGGAAUAUUGGACAAUGGGCGAAAGCCUGAUCCAGCAAUGCCGCGUGAGUGAUGAAGGCCUUCGGGUCGUAAAGCUCUUUUACCAGGGAUGAUAAUGACAGUACCUGGAGAAUAAGCUCCGGCUAACUCCGUGCCAGCAGCCGCGGUAAUACGGAGGGAGCUAGCGUUGUUCGGAAUUACUGGGCGUAAAGAGUACGUAGGCGGUUAUUCAAGUCAGAGGUGAAAGCCCGGGGCUCAACCCCGGAACUGCCUUUGAAACUAGAUAGCUAGAGUCUUGGAGAGGUUAGUGGAAUUCCGAGUGUAGAGGUGAAAUUCGUAGAUAUUCGGAAGAACACCAGUGGCGAAGGCGACUAACUGGACAAGUACUGACGCUGAGGUACGAAAGCGUGGGGAGCAAACAGGAUUAGAUACCCUGGUAGUCCACGCCGUAAACGAUGAUAACUAGUUGUUCGGUCACUUGGUGACUGAGUGACGCAGCUAACGCAUUAAGUUAUCCGCCUGGGGAGUACGGUCGCAAGAUUAAAAACUCAAAAUGAAUUGACGG